rnacentral:rRNA from 1 species
CCUACGGGAGGCAGCAGUGAGGAAUAUUGGUCAAUGGGCGCGAGCCUGAACCAGCCAAGUCGCGUGAGGGAAGACGGUCCUAUGGAUUGUAAACCUCUUUUGUCGGGGAGCAAAAGACGCCACGCGUGGCGUUCCGAGAGUACCCGAAGAAAAAGCAUCGGCUAACUCCGUGCCAGCAGCCGCGGUAAUACGGGGGAUGCGAGCGUUGUCCGGAUGUAUUGGGUUGAAAGGGUGGUCAGGGGGAAGAUCAAGUCAGCGGUAAAAUUGAGAGGCUCAACCUCUUCGAGCCGUUGAAACUGGUGUACUUGAGUGAGCGAGAGGUGUGCGGAAUGCGUGGUGUAGCGGUGAAAUGCAUAGAUAUCACGAAGAACUCCGGUUGCGAAGGCAGCAUACCGGCGCUCAACUGACGCUCAUGCACGAAAGUGUGGGUAUCGAACAGGAUUAGAUACCCUAGUAGUC